CACAACAAGCCAUAUCACCAUGCAACUCACAACUGGCUACCCACUGAAACUAAGCAGGUGUGAGCCUGGUAAGUACCUGGAUGGGAGACCUCCUGGGAAAAACUAAGGUUGUUGCUGGAA
ensembl:rRNA 5S_rRNA 5S ribosomal RNA